GACGAACGCUGGCGGCGUGCUUAACACAUGCAAGUCGAACGGCAAGGCACUGAUUUUGUGGGGUGCUCGAUUGGCGAACGGGUGAGUAACAGGUGAGUAACCUGCCCUUGACUUUGGGAUAACUUCAGGAAACUGGGGCUAAUCCCGUAUAGGAUCUCCUGCUCCAUGGUGGGGGGUGGAAAGUUUCGGCGGGUGCGGAUGGACUAGCGGCUUAUCAGCUUGUUAGUGGGGUAGGGGAUGACCAAGGCUUUGACGGGUAGCCGGCCGGGGAGGGUGACCGGCCACAUUGGUCCUGAGAUACGGCCCAGACUCCUACGUUAGGCAGUAGGGGGGAACAUGGCACAGUGGGCGGAAGCCUGUUGAAGCAACCCUGCGGGCGGGAUGACGGCUUGCUGGUUGUAAACCGCUUUCGCCUGUGACGAAGCGGGAGUGACGGUAAUGAGUAAAGAAGCACCGGCUAACUACGUG
rnacentral:rRNA from 1 species